UACGUAGGGGGCUAGCGUUGUCCGGAUUUAUUGGGCGUAAAGCGCGUGUAGGCGGCCAGGUAGGUCCGCUGUGAAAACUCGAGGCUCAACCUCGAGACGUCGGCGGAAACCCUCUGGCUAGAGUCCGGAAGAGGAGAGUGGAAUUCCUGGUGUAGCGGUGAAAUGCGCAGAUAUCAGGAAGAACACCAAUGGCGAAGGCAGCUCUCUGGGACGGUACUGACGCUGAGACGCGAAAGCGUGGGGAGCGAACAGG
rnacentral:rRNA from 1 species